AUGAAUGGCCGCGGUACCCUGACCGUGCUAAGGUAGCGUAAUCAGUUGGCUUUUAAAUGGAGUCAGGAAUGAAUGGAAUAACCGGGUUUAGCUGUCUCCUUUCUAAUUAGUUGAAUUUACUGUUCAAGUGAAAAAGCUUGAAGAAAGAAAAGGGACGAGAAGACCCUUAGAAUUUUUUUUAGUGGGAAAUUUUUUCCUAAUGAUUUUGUUGGGGCGACAUGGAAAUAUAUAAAAACUUUCCUUUAGUACUUGCCGAUUUUGUUAAGUUGGAAUAAAUUACCUGAGGGAUAACAGCAUAAUUCUACAGAUGAGUUUGUG
rnacentral:rRNA from 1 species